rnacentral:rRNA from 1 species
CCUAACACAUGCAAGUCGAACGGUAACAGGAAGCAGCUUGCUGCUUCGCUGACGAGUGGCGGACGGGUGAGUAAUGUCUGGGAAGCUGCCUGAUGGAGGGGGAUAACUACUGGAAACGGUAGCUAAUACCGCAUAAUGUCGCAAGACCAAAGAGGGGGACCUUCGGGCCUCUUGCCAUCGGAUGUGCCCAGAUGGGAUUAGCUUGUUGGUGGGGUAACGGCUCACCAAGGCGACGAUCCCUAGCUGGUCUGAGAGGAUGACCAGCCACACUGGAACUGAGACACGGUCCAGACUCCUACGGGAGGCAGCAGUGGGGAAUAUUGCACAAUGGGCGCAAGCCUGAUGCAGCCAUGCCGCGUGUAUGAAGAAGGCCUUCGGGUUGUAAAAUACUUUCAGCGGGGAGGAAGGGAGUAAAGUUAAUACCUUUGCUCAUUGACGUUACCCGCAGAAGAAGCACCGGCUAACUCCGUGCCAGCAGCCGCGGUAAUACGGAGGGUGCAAGCGUUAAUCGGAAUUACUGGGCGUAAAGCGCACGCAGGCGGUUUGUUAAGUCAGAUGUGAAAUCCCCGGGCUCAACCUGGGAACUGCAUCUGAUACUGGCAAGCUUGAGUCUCGUAGAGGGGGGU